rnacentral:lncRNA from 1 species
GAAGCCUGGUGAUGUGAUACUGGUUAAUCAGUGAAGGUAGAGGUUGGUAUGAGAGGAAGCCUGGUGAUGUGAUACUGGUUAAUCAGUGAAGGUAGAGGUUGGUAUGAGAGGAAGCCUGGUGAUGUGAUACUGGUUAAUCAGUAAAGGUAGAGGUUGGUAUGAGAGGAAGCCUGGUGAUAUGAUACGGCUGGUUAAUCAGUGAAGGUAGAGGUUGGUAUGAGAGGAAGCCUGGUGAUGUGAUACUGGUUAAUCAGUAAAGGUAGAGGUUGGUAUGAGAGGAAGCCUGGUGAUGUGAUACUGGUUAAUCAGUGAAGGUAGAGGUUGGUAUGAGAGGAAGCCUGGUGAUGUGAUACUGGUUAAUCAGUGAAGGUAGAGGUUGGUAUGAGAGGAAGCCUGGUGAUGUGAUACUGGUUAAUCAGUGAAGGUAGAGGUUGGUAUGAGAGGAAGCCUGGUGAUGUGAUAUGGCUGGUUAAUCAGUGAAGGUAGAGGUUGGUAUGAGAGGAAGCCUGGUGAUGUGAUACUGGUUAAUCAGUAAAGGUAGAGGUUGGUAUGAGAGGAAGCCUGGUGAUAUGAUACUGGUUAAUCAGUGAAGGUAGAGGUUGGUAUGAGAGGAAGCCUGGUGAUGUGAUACUGGUUAAUCAGUAAAGGUAGAGGUUGGUAUGAGAGGAAGCCUGGUGAUGUGAUACUGGUUAAUCAGUGAAGGUAGAGGUUGGUAUGAGAGGAAGCCUGGUGAUAUGAUACGGCUGGUUAAUCAGUGAAGGUAGAGGUUGGUAUGAGAGGAAACCUGAUGUAGCUGGGAAGAUACGGUCCCACUGCUCUCUCCCACUUACUGCCCUUUAUGACAAACAUACACACAUCGUCUGGCUUGUACACACACACACAAACAC